GGCGUGCCUAAUACAUGCAAGUCGAGCGGCGGGAAGCGGACAAUCACCCGUUCGGGGUGUGCGUCCGUGGAACGAGCGGCGGAUGGGUGAGUAUCACGGUGGGCAACCUGCCUGUAAGAGUUGGGAUAACUCGCGGAAACGUGAGCUAAUACCGAAUGAAGUCUUUCACCGCCGUGGUGAAAGGAUGAAAGAUGGCUCUUGAGCUAUCACUUACAGAUGGGCCCGCGGCGCAUUAGCUAGUUGGGUGGGGUAAAGGCCUACCAAGGCGACGAUGCGUAGCCGACCUGAGAGGGUGAUCGGCCACACUGGGACUGAGACACGGCCCAGACUCCUACGGGAGGCAGCAGUAGGGAAUCUUCCGCAAUGGACGAAAGUCCGACGGAGCAACGCCGCGUGAGUGAUGAAGGUCUUCGGAUCGUAAAACUCUGUUGUCAGGGAAGAACAAGUUGUGUUCUAACAGGACAUGACCUUGACGGUACCUGACCAGAAAGCCCCGGCUAACUACGUGCCAGCCGCAGC
rnacentral:rRNA from 1 species